GAGUAGGAGGAAGAAGACAAAGAGGACGGCAAGUGGCCUGUUUUGUUGAAUGUUCCAGCGAUUCUCUACAUCUUCAGUCCAGCUUAAAUGAGUUUAUCUGCGAGCAGUUUACUGCUGCUGGAGAAACAUUCAGUUUAAAGAAAUGAUCGUCAAGUCGGAGGAAGAGAUGGAUGAUCAGCGCAGACUGCUGGAUUUCUCCCGGACUCCCCGGAUAAUCUUACACCGAAUAGAUUCCCUGAAGUGUAAGGUUAAUAACCAGAAGAGGAGAUCCGCUUUGGACCAGGAGUUAGAGCCUCUGCAAGUAAAAGAAGAACAGGAAGAACCAGAAGUUCAUCAGAUAAAAGUGGAAGAGAAAGAAGUUUACUGCAUUCAGGGUGAAGAACAGAUUGAUUUAAAACAGGAAACUGAUA